rnacentral:rRNA from 1 species
GACGAACGCUGGCGGCGUGCUUAACACAUGCAAGUCGAACGGAAAGGCCCUGCUUUUGUGGGGUGCUCGAGUGGCGAACGGGUGAGUAACACGUGAGUAACCUGCCCUUGACUUUGGGAUAACUUCAGGAAACUGGGGCUAAUACCGGAUAGGAGCUCCUGCUGCAUGGUGGGGGUUGGAAAGUUUCGGCGGUUGGGGAUGGACUCGCGGCUUAUCAGCUUGUUGGUGGGGUAGUGGCUUACCAAGGCUUUGACGGGUAGCCGGCCUGAGAGGGUGACCGGCCACCUUGGGACUGAGAUACGGCCCAGACUCCUACGGGAGGCAGCAGUGGGGAAUAUUGCACAAUGGGCGGAAGCCUGAUGCAGCGACGCCGCGUGCGGGAUGACGGCCUUAGGGUUGUAAACCGCUUUCGCCUGUGACGAAGCGUGAGUGACGGUAAUGGGUAGAGAAGCACCGGCUAACUACGUG